AGCGAACGCUGGCGGCAGGCUUAACACAUGCAAGUCGAGCGGGCACUUCGGUGUCAGCGGCAGACGGGUGAGUAACACGUGGGAACGUACCCUUUGGUUCGGAAUAACGCUGGGAAACUAGCGCUAAUACCGGAUACGCCCUUUUGGGGAAAGGCUUGCUGCCGAAGGAUCGGCCCACGUCUGAUUAGCUAGUUGGUGGGGUAAUGGCCUACCAAGGCGACGAUCAGUAGCUGGUCUGAGAGGAUGAUCAGCCACACUGGGACUGAGACACGGCCCAGACUCCUACGGGAGGCAGCAGUGGGGAGUAUUGGACAAUGGGCGCAAGCCUGAUCCAGCCAUGCCGCGUGAGUGAUGAAGGCCUUAGGGUUGUAAAGCUCUUUUGUCCGGGACGAUAAUGACGGUACCGGAAGAAUAAGCCCCGGCUAACUUCGUG
rnacentral:rRNA from 1 species